rnacentral:rRNA from 1 species
CUGCUGCCUCCCGUAGGAGUUUGGGCCGUGUCUCAGUCCCAAUGUGGCCGUCCACCCUCUCAGGCCGGCUACUGAUCGUCGGCUUGGUGGGCCGUUACCCCGCCAACUACCUAAUCAGACGCGGGCCCAUCUUACACCACCGGAGUUUUCCGCACCAGACCAUGCGGCCCUGUGCGCAUAUGCGGUAUUAGCAGCCGUUUCCAGCUGUUGUCCCCCUGUGUAAGGCAGGUUGCCCACGCGUUACUCACCCGUCCGCCACU